rnacentral:rRNA from 1 species
GUAACGGGGUGUUAGGGCACGACACCGGAGAGGGAGCCUGAGAAACGGCUACCACAUCCAAGGAUGGCAGCAGGCGCGCAAAUUACCCAAUCCCGACACGGGGAGGUAGUGACAAUAAAUAACAAUACGGGGUCCUUUCGGGUUUCGUAAUUGGAAUGAGUACAAUUUAAAUCUCUUAACGAGGAACAAUUGGAGGGCAAGUCUGGUGCCAGCAGCCGCGGUAAUUCCAGCUCCAAUAGCGUAUAUUAAAGUUGUUGCAGUUAAAAAGCUCGUAGUUGGAUUUCGGGAUCAAUAUAUCGGUCGUGCCAUUGGUACGUACUGGUAUCAUUGGUUUCUCCUUUCUGACGAACCAUGAUGUCAUUAAUUUGGUGUUAUGGGAAGUUAGGACUGUUACUUUGAAAAAAUUAGAGUGUUUAAAGCAGGCUUUAGCUUGAAUACAUUAGCAUGGAAUAAUAGAAUAGGACGGUGGUCCUGUUUUGUUGGUUUCUGAAUCACCGUAAUGAUUAAUAGGGAUAGUUGGGGGCAUUAGUAUUCAAUUGUCAGAGGUGAAAUUCUUGGAUUUAUUGAAGACUAACUUCUGCGAAAGCAUUUGCCAAGGAUGUUUUCAUUAAUCAAGAACGAAAGUUAGGGGAUCGAAGACGAUCAGAUACC